rnacentral:rRNA from 1 species
CGCUUUCGUGCAUGAGCGUCAGUGACGUCCCAGGGGGCUGCCUUCGCCAUCGGUAUUCCUCCACAUCUCUACGCAUUUCACUGCUACACGUGGAAUUCUACCCCCCUCUGACAUACUCUAGCCUUGCAGUCACAAGCGCAAUUCCCAAGUUGAGCUCGGGGAUUUCACGCCUGUCUUACAAAACCGCCUGCGCACGCUUUACGCCCAGUAAUUCCGAUUACGCUCGACCNNAUUACCGCGGCUGCUGGCACGUAGUUAGCCGGUGCUUAUUCUUCCGGUACCGUCAUCCACCCCAGGUAUUAACCGAAGCGAUUUCUUUCCGGACAAAAGUGCUUUACAACCCGAAGGCCUUCUUCACACACGCGGCAUUGCUGGAUCAGGGUUGCCCCCAUUGUCCAAAAUUCCCCACUGCUGCCUCCCGUAGGAGUCUGGGCCGUGUCUCAGUCCCAGUGUGGCUGAUCGUCCUCUCAGACCAGCUACUGAUCGUCGCCUUGGUGGGCCUUUACCCCACCAACUAGCUAAUCAGACAUCGGCCGCUCCUGCUGCGUGAGGCCUUACGGUCCCCCACUUUCACCCUCAGGUCGUAUGCGGUAUUAGCUAAUCUUUCGACUAGUUAUCCCCCACAACAGGGUACGUUCCGAUGUAUUACUCACCCGUUCGCCACUCGCCACCAGACCGAA